CGGCGUGCCUGACACAUGCAAGUCGAACGGAAUAUCCUCGGAUAUUAGUGGCGAACGGGUGAGUAAUGUACAGGUAAUGUACCUUCGUACUGCGAAUAACAAGCUGAAAAGUUUUGCUAAUACGGAAUAGUUUCAUUAGGGGGCAUCCUUUGAUGAAUAAAGAUUUAUCGUGCGAAGAUCAGCCUGUAUCCUAUUAGUUAGUUGGUGGGGUAAUGGCCUACCAAGACGACGAUGGGUAACUGGUCUGAGAGGAUGAGCAGUCACAUUGGAACUGAGAUACGGUCCAAACUCCUACGGGAGGCAGCAGUGAGGAAUUUUGCGCAAUGGGGGCAACCCUGACGCAGCCAACGCCGCGUGAGUGAUGACGGCCUUCGGGUUGUAAAGCUCUGUCGUGUAUGACGAGUAGGGACGGUAAUACACAAGGAAGCCUCGGCUAACUACGUGCCAGCAGCUGC
rnacentral:rRNA from 1 species